rnacentral:rRNA from 1 species
CACGUAGGGGGCGAGCGUUGUCCGGAUUUAUUGGGCGUAAAGAGCUCGUAGGCGGCUCAGUAAGUCAGGUGUGAAAACUCCAGGCUCAACCUGGAGACGCCACCUGAUACUGCUGUGGCUAGAGUCCGGUAGGGGAGCAUGGAAUUCCUGGUGUAGCGGUGAAAUGCGCAGAUAUCAGGAGGAACACCGGUGGCGAAGGCGGGUCUCUGGGCCGAUACUGACGCUGAGGAGCGAAAGCGUGGGGAGCAAACAGG